UUUGGUUAAGUUAGAAAGGGCGCACGGUGGAUGCCUUGACACUAGGAGUCGAUGAAGGACGGGACUAACGCCGAUAUGCUUCGGGGAGCUGUAAGUAAGCUUUGAUCCGAAGAUUUCCGAAUGGGGAAACCCACCAUACGUAAUGGUAUGGUAUCCUUAUCUGAAUACAUAGGGUAAGGAAGACAGACCCAGGGAACUGAAACAUCUAAGUACCUGGAGGAAGAGAAAGCAAAUGCGAUUUCCUGAGUAGCGGCGAGCGAAACGGAACAUAGCCCAAACCAAGAGGCUUGUCUCUUGGGGUUGUAGGACAUUCUAUACGGAGUUACAAAGGAACGAGGUAGACGAAGCGACCUGGAAAGGUCCGUCGUAGAGGGUAACAACCCCGUAGUCGAAACUUCGUUCUCUCUUGAAUGUAUCCUGAGUACGGCGGAACACGUGAAAUUCCGUCGGAAUCUGGGAGGACCAUCUCCCAAGGCUAAAUACUCCCUAGUGAUCGAUAGUGAACCAGUACCGUGAGGGAAAGGUGAAAAGCACCCCGGAAGGGGAGUGAAAGAGAUCCUGAAACCGUGUGCCUACAAAUAGUCAGAGCCCGUUAACGGGUGAUGGCGUGCCUUUUGUAGAAUGAACCGGCGAGUUACGAUCCCGUGCGAGGUUAAGCUGAAGAGGCGGAGCCGCAGCGAAAGCGAGUCUGAAUAGGGCGUUUAGUACGUGGUCGUAGACCCGAAACCAGGUGAUCUACCCAUGUCCAGGGUGAAGUUCAGGUAACACUGAAUGGAGGCCCGAACCCACGCACGUUGAAAAGUGCGGGGAUGAGGUGUGGGUAGCGGAGAAAUUCCAAUCGAACCUGGAGAUAGCUGGUUCUCCCCGAAAUAGCUUUAGGGCUAGCCUUAAGUGUAAGAGUCUUGGAGGUAGAGCACUGAUUGGACUAGGGGUCCUCAUCGGAUUACCGAAUUCAGUCAAACUCCGAAUGCCAAUGACUUAUCCUUAGGAGUCAGACUGCGAGUGAUAAGAUCCGUAGUCAAAAGGGAAACAGCCCAGACCGCCAGCUAAGGUCCCAAAGUGUGUAUUAAGUGGAAAAGGAUGUGGAGUUGCUUAGACAACUAGGAUGUUGGCUUAGAAGCAGCCACCAUUUAAAGAGUGCGUAAUAGCUCACUAGUCGAGUGACUCUGCGCCGAAAAUGUACCGGGGCUAAAUACACCACCGAAGCUGCGGAUUGAUACCGAAUGGUAUCAGUGGUAGGGGAGCGUUCUAAGGACAGUGAAGUCAGACCGGAAGGACUGGUGGAGUGCUUAGAAGUGAGAAUGCCGGUAUGAGUAGCGAAAGACGGGUGAGAAUCCCGUCCACCGAAUGCCUAAGGUUUCCUGAGGAAGGCUCGUCCGCUCAGGGUUAGUCAGGACCUAAGCCGAGGCCGACAGGCGUAGGCGAUGGACAACAGGUUGAUAUUCCUGUACCACCUCUUUAUCGUUUGAGCAAUGGAGGGACGCAGAAGGAUAGAAGAAGCGUGCGAUUGGUUGUGCACGUCCAAGCAGUUAGGCUGAUAAGUAGGCAAAUCCGCUUAUCGUAAAGGCUGAGCUGUGAUGGGGAAGCUCCUUAUGGAGCGAAGUCUUUGAUUCCCCGCUGCCAAGAAAAGCUUCUAGCGAGAUAAAAGGUGCCUGUACCGCAAACCGACACAGGUAGGCGAGGAGAGAAUCCUAAGGUGUGCGAGAGAACUCUGGUUAAGGAACUCGGCAAAAUGACCCCGUAACUUCGGGAGAAGGGGUGCUUUCUUAACGGAAAGCCGCAGUGAAUAGGCCCAAGCGACUGUUUAGCAAAAACACAGCUCUCUGCGAAGCCGUAAGGCGAAGUAUAGGGGGUGACACCUGCCCGGUGCUGGAAGGUUAAGGAGAGGGGUUAGCGUAAGCGAAGCUCUGAACUGAAGCCCCAGUAAACGGCGGCCGUAACUAUAACGGUCCUAAGGUAGCGAAAUUCCUUGUCGGGUAAGUUCCGACCCGCACGAAAGGUGUAACGAUUUGGGCACUGUCUCAACCAGAGACUCGGUGAAAUUAUAGUACCUGUGAAGAUGCAGGUUACCCGCGACAGGACGGAAAGACCCCGUGGAGCUUUACUGUAGCCUGAUAUUGAAUUUUGGUACAGUUUGUACAGGAUAGGCGGGAGCCUUUGAAACCGGAGCGCUAGCUUCGGUGGAGGCGCUGGUGGGAUACCGCCCUGACUGUAUUGAAAUUCUAACCUACGGGUCUUAUCGACCCGGGAGACAGUGUCAGGUGGGCAGUUUGACUGGGGCGGUCGCCUCCUAAAGUGUAACGGAGGCGCCCAAAGGUUCCCUCAGAAUGGUUGGAAAUCAUUCGUAGAGUGCAAAGGCAUAAGGGAGCUUGACUGCGAGACCUACAAGUCGAGCAGGGACGAAAGUCGGGCUUAGUGAUCCGGUGGUUCCGCAUGGAAGGGCCAUCGCUCAACGGAUAAAAGCUACCCCGGGAUAACAGGCUUAUCUCCCCAAGAGUCCACAUCGACGGGGAGGUUUGGCACCUCGAUGUCGGCUCAUCGCAUCCUGGGGCUGUAGUCGGUCCCAAGGGUUGGGCUGUUCGCCCAUUAAAGCGGUACGCGAGCUGGGUUCAGAACGUCGUGAGACAGUUCGGUCCCUAUCCGUCGUGGGCGUAGGAAAUUUGAGAGGAGCUGUCCUUAGUACGAGAGGACCGGGAUGGACGCACCGCUGGUGUACCAGUUGUUCUGCCAAGGGCAUAGCUGGGUAGCUAUGUGCGGAAGGGAUAAGUGCUGAAAGCAUCUAAGCAUGAAGCCCCCCUCAAGAUGAGAUUUCCCAUAGCGUAAGCUAGUAAGAUCCCUGAAAGAUGAUCAGGUUGAUAGGUUCGAGGUGGAAGCAUGGUGACAUGUGGAGCUGACGAAUACUAAUAGAUCGAGGACUUAACCAUAUAA
rnacentral:rRNA from 1 species